CUUAAUCAUAGCUAACACUUGGUUCAAGAAACAUAAAAGAUGGUUGUAUACAAGGAAGAAGCCUGGAGAUACUGACAGGUUUCAGAUAGAUUAUACAAUGGUAAGACAGAGAUUUAAGAACCAGGUUUUAAACUGUAAGACAUUUCCAGGGGCAGAUGUGGAUUCUG